GCCACCUACCCUCCCUCCCCACACACAGAGAGAGAAAAGGAAACAUAAUCAAACACUCACUGUAGAGUUUAUUUUCUGUCAUGGCCCAAAAGUAGUCAUUUAUCGUCAGCCCAGUUUGGAAGUGACUAAACCGAGAAUGUGGCGAUGGAGAACUGAUGGUAACAAAGUUGACUUGCGAUGUAACGUCAGCAAAGAGAGGGAUAACCGACAGACGAGUCGACCACCCCAAUUCAUCCGAGCGAAAGGAAUGCAGACGACUGUGAAGAAAGGAAUCAUCUCGUACCUAGAUUUGGCGUUCGCACUUGGAGAUUCAUGACAGGCCGCCGAACAGCAUAGAAGACUGUUCACAAGGCUGAUGGUGGCAUUACCUGCGUUUGAAUCACCUCAAGAUAGAAUUGAAAGAAAAUGUAGCAGUGAUGACAUCUUGCGCUACACAGAUUUUUGUCCAAUCAGAUGCUCUCUUGAAGGAGAAUGUCCCGCCCCCUUACGCCGCAUACAACUGACUAAUUAAAUAACACCAGACGAGUUUGAAAUGCUAUGCAGCCGGCCCAUCCCAAGAGUGGUGUGCAUUGUGCCGGGCUGAAGAAAUCUCAUCACUGUAUUGAUACAUGACAAAAGCCAAGCGCAAUCAUUGUCUGUGAAAGAUCCUCUGAGACCAAUUUAGACCCCAAAGACUUUGACCAUAACAUUUAAAUCAGCAAAACUGACUAAUUUAGUGUUGGCUAUGAUAGUUCUGAAUACAAUUAUUGUACCCUCAACAU